rnacentral:rRNA from 1 species
AGGGUUUGAUUCUGGCUCAGGACGAACGCUGGCGGCGUGCCUAAUACAUGCAAGUCGAGCGGAGUAUAAGGAGUAGCAAUACGAAAUAUACUUAGCGGCGGACGGGUGAGUAACGCGUGAGCGACCUGGCCUAUACAGGGGGAUAACAGGGAGAAAUUCCUGCUAAUACCGCAUAAGACCACAGUACUGCAUGGUACAGGGGUCAAAGGAGAGAUCCGGUAUAGGAUGGGCUCGCGUCCCAUUAGCUAGUUGGUGAUGUAAAGGACCACCAAGGCGACGAUGGGUAGCCGACCUGAGAGGGUGACCGGCCACACUGGGACUGAGACACGGCCCAG